rnacentral:lncRNA from 1 species
AAAGAUGCAUGACGCAAUUUCAAAGAAGAAAUCGGAAUACAAACUCGUGGAACUCAGAACAAUGUUUGCAUGCAAGGCCUCACAAGAGGUUUCCGCAAUCUCACAAGACACUGGGUUUAGUCUAGACGAUCUUCUUCAUACUGUGUUUCGAUGACAUAAGCAAAUGGUGAUCAUGCUUCGAUCAGAUAGUGUUGCAUCACAAGCAUAAUUUGUAAGCAAAUACUACCUUUGUUCCUCAUAAUGCAAUGAUUCCACACCAGGUUUGUAGCUCUGUUGGAAUGUGUUGGUCUCAUCUGUACCUUUUCAUAAUUGUGACUUCGGUUUACUUCUGCAUGUAUUCAGUGAUAUCCUACAUGUAAAUAAGGCUAUCUAGCACCAGUCUACUAAUGCCAUUGCCGGAUUAACAUUGUGAAAAAUUUACAAAAAAACUGGCAUUAAAAUUUCUAAAAGUGGACAACUAAAGGUAAAGUACAAACAAAAUUUAAUUUAUGUCAAGUAGGUCGUAUCAGAACUAUAAAAUGUCAUUUCUGAAAUGGCUGCCAAGUAUAUUAUCAAUAUCUAAGAAAGAAGAAGGAGCCUUGUACUGUGAUUCGACUGAAAGACACACAUUGGUGACCUUAAUGUAAACAACAUGUCUUGAAAUAGUUCAUCCAAAGGCUGCAAAAACAUAUGAAGAACAUAUCCCUCCAAAGUCAAAUGGUAUUUUGUACCAUUAUAUCAUAGCCAUGAAGAUUUGAAUCCCCGAAAACAGGGCAGUAUUAAGACGUAGAUUUCUAGAGUCGUUACACUGUUGUUUGUAUCCCUGUGCAAAACAAAAUUAAGUACAAUUAAAUCAUGUUAACCUGAUGCAAUAAUUCAAUGUAAUCAACCGAAUUGCAUUUACUGAGCAUGAGAACAUAUUCUUGGAAUAUGUCAGAAAGGAGAUUAGACACCAU